rnacentral:rRNA from 1 species
CAAAUUAUCCUCAUAAGUUUGACAAUAAGAGGAACCAUUAAUAAUAAUUUUAGCCAUAAUAUUAUUUAAUUAAAGGUAUAAUAAAAUCGGAGGCCCCGACUGUUUACUAAAAACACAAUUCAGAGCAAUGAUUAAUAUCAUAGUAUUCUGGAUGAAAUUUGCCCAAUGCCAUUAAUAUAAGAGAGGUAAUAGGUAACUGUUACUAAUCGAAAGUCUGGUUAAUAGCGGUCUUAACUAUGAGGAUCCAAAGGUAGCAAAAUAAAUUGGCCAUUAAAUGUGGUCUUGUAUCAAUAAUGUAACGAUGGUCUCACUGUCUCUACAACUUGCUCAGUGAAAUUGAAUUACCCGUGCAGAUGCGGGUUACCUCCAGGGGGACGGGAAGACCCUAUGCAGCU